ACUUUAUGAGUAUAGUGUUGGCGUUUGAUAGGGUGUGUGUGAUAUAGGUUAUCUUCUUGUUCUCUGUGCCCUCAUCCUCCUUUUUCUCUGGUUUUGGUUUUGGUUUUGGUGGAAUCUAAAAAGCUUUUGCUUUUGAUCAGUGAACAAAAACAACUCUUCCUCUUCUUCUCCAAACGGCUACUUAAUUGCUUCGCCAUUUUCAAGAUUUCACGUGGAGUAGAGUACUUCUUCUCAUCUGGUCAGGUCAGGUCAGGCGUCUAAUCAGACAAAGAAUGUAUAGAUUUUAAUCAUUUUGGACACUAUAUAUAUAUAUAUAUAUAUAUGGAUCUGAGGGGUUGAAAGUGGUGGUGGUUGGUUGUUAUGACAACGAGAGAGAGCACGCUUGUGUUGAUAUUCAUGAAAAGGAUCAAAACGUGAGUGUACACAUGCGUGCUCUCCCCCGUUGUCAUACAAUCUUUCUUUUUCUCUUUUUUUUCUUACGUUGUUUCAAUCUACCUGGAAUUAAUGGAUUCCAUCAUCACCAGGUACCACUUAAUUCUCAUCACUAUUCAUAUAUAUAUAUGUAAAUAUUUGAUAACAAUAUAUACCAGAAAAAAUGAACUUUUACUACUUGUGGUUUUAUAUACGCUGUGUUGUUUUUGUUAUUUUUUGCAAUAAAAACCAAGGUCUAUCUAUGAUGAGGAGGUGGGUUUUUUUUUGUUAAUUUAAAAAAAAAAAUUGAUGAUGAAAGUGAAUUCAUUUGGGUUGUGUUAUUCCAAGCUAUAUUUGUUAAGAACAUGACUAUAAUAUAGGAAUAUUGCUGAUUAUGUAAAUAUAAUCUGUGGAAUAUAUGGCAAAGAAGAAAAGAUACCAUAUUCAUUAGAUAAAAGGAAAAUUAUUACUUAAACAUGCUUGAAUAGGCAAAAGAAGAAAUAAAGUGAGAAUGGAAAUUACUAUAGUCUUGUAGGCACACAUCAAGAAUAUCAAAUAAUAACAUAUGUCUUUUGUUUAAAGUACAGUUUUAUAGAAUGAAAUAUGCUUUGACCAAUAUAGUAUAUAUAGUAUAGUGCCAUUACUAUAUCAUGUUUACAGGCCUGUUUACAAUAAUGCUACUCUAAAAUAUUAGUGUUAAAAACGUUUUUCCACUUAAAAUAUUCAAAAGUUUUGAUAUUGUCAAUUGAGAGUGCUUGCUAUUUUGAUUACUAUAAUGUUUUUUCUAUUAUCGCCACUCAUCUUCAACUCUCAAAACCUUUUGUAUAAGAUCAAAUCUAGCUGCUGGUUUUGGUGGUAACUAGUUAUUUUCUCAAUUAUAUUUAUGUUUUUCUAAAUUUAUGUUGUAUUAUUUUAUCUUGAACAUGUCUCAAAUAUAUAUAGAGAUGUUUACAUUUUUGAGGAUAUAUAUAACUAUGAGCAUUUCUUAUAUCGUAUGAUGAUAAAAUUGUAGCUAACAAAUUGUCUAGCAUGUUUUUUUAUUUGUAGCACUUGUCAUCCAAAGCAUUGAAGGUGAUAAUCAAUUAAUUAGUUUAUGCUUAACUAAUAUAUAUAUACAUAUAUAUAUUGUUUACAGGCCAAAAAGUGGCUUAUACUUUGAUCAGGCAAGGCAUUGAAUAUAUCAAUUUUCUCAUAGUCUCAAAGAUUAUUAUGACUAUUUUAUUGAAAAUUCACAUGUCAAUACCAAGUAAUUCUACUAAUUAUUUAAAAUGUAUAUUGAAUCUCAAUGAAUAAGAUUAUAAAAAAAGAAGUAAGAGAGAAAUAUAUAUUAAAGGUGAUCUUAGCUUGCACAUCCAUUCUUUACUUUCAUACUGCGAACAUUCGAUAUCCACAUCAUAUGGAAGCUUUUGGCGAUGAAUAUGCUUAAUUAUGAUUGAUUUAAGGAGGAUUCGAUCAUAUAGUGAUGAUAUUAUGAUAGUUUUGUGAAGCCAUACUAGAAAAUAAGAACAACAAGAGAAACAACUAAAAUGAUUCGACAGUUUCUAAAUUUUGUAAGUUUGUUUAUUAAUUAUUCUAGUUGAGUAAAUAUUUACUUUUGUUUAAAAUAUUACUGCCUCACCAAACAUUGUAUUAUGUCAUGUUAUGUUUUCCUUGUAUCAUAUAUAGUAUUGGGGAUAAUGUAGUCUUCUUUUGAGGACCAAUGUCAUUGCAUAAUAUAAUUAGUUUUAUUCAUGAUUGAAGUAGAUGAAUAAUGUCGUAUACGGAAUGUUGUAUCAUAUAUAGUAUUGGGGAUAAUGUAGUCUUCUUUUGAGGACCAAUGUCAUUGCAUAAUAUAAUUAGUUUUAUUCAUGAUUGAAGUAUAUGAAUAAUAUCGUAUACGGAAUGUUGUAUAUUACUUUCAGUAUGCCAGAGAUCGAUCACUAAAGGGAACUACAUCCAAAAUCUAUAGUAUAUACAGUGUCAAAUGUUAUUUUUGCUCAACUUGUUAUCUUAAGAGUGAGUUAAUUUUAAGAUAACUUGUUUCGAACUGUUAACAUUUUCUCGAAUUUAUCGAGGGUUAGCGCAUUUGAAGAAUUCUCACCCACUGUUUAAUUUGUGUGAAAUUUAGUGUAUUCAACAGUACUAUGUUGAUGUUGUUUGUAACAAGGUAUAAAGAGAACUUCAUGUUGUUGGUAACAAGUUACAAGUCACAAUUUUCUCUUUCAUAGAUGAAUUAUCAUUUGAUCAGCAUGUGAUCCUUAUAGCCACUAUUUAUUAUGGCCAUUUCUAGAGGUUUCAGUACUAGUGUUUGCUUACUUCUGUGACCCAAUAGAUGGGAUAGAACAAUUGUAACAUCUUAUUGGCUUGGUUAUGAUCAUAAAAAUUUAUAUUCAAAGCUCUAUAGCUCAAUUGUGAUGUGAGAUCAUCAAGUAGCUAGGAUGUCAUAUACUUGAUUGUUUAUAAGUGACUGCGAUCCUAAUGUUGUGUUUGGUUCCAAUUUAGUUUGGUGAAUAGGAUAUGAUUGUAUUGAAUUGGUUUAAGAAAAAAAAAAGAAAAUAAAAGAAAAAAGAUGAGGUUAUCAUUUGCCAAUAAUAACUUGUGAAAAAUCAAGAUAGAUGCUACAAAGAUGUAAAUUUUUUUUUAUCAUUGAUCUAGACAUCUAUUUAUUUAUAUAUAUAUAUAUAUAUAUAUAUAUGCAUAUGAAGAUAUAGAGAAUAUGAUAGAAUAAUAUCAUAUUAUAUCUUAAGUUUCUCAAUAGGAUUAAUUAGGUUUGUUGGAUUAAUUUUUUUCAAUACAUUCUCUAUUACUUAACUAAAUUGGGUGAUAAAUUUCUACUUUCCAAAUAUGACGUACUCAUUUGUGAUGAUUAUUAGGUGUUGUGAUCAUCAAUAAGAUGUCACAUAUUUGAUUGUUCAUAAUUGACUGUUAGGUGCCACUUUAGCAUUACUUCCAAGUGUCUCCAUGUAUGUACUAUUUAAAUGUCUAUUUGUGCAUCAGUGUGUGUGUGAGUGUUGACAAUUUUUUCUCAAAAUUAGUUAUAAUAUCUAAAUUCCAUUUUGUUUCUGAAGUGUUUUGUGUCUUUUUUUAGGUACUUUGUUUCAAGCAAUUAAUAUUUAUCAAGGGGAUUGUUUUAUUCACAUGGUUACAUGUUGAUUCUAUUUUUAUUACUGAGGAGUAGAUCAUUAUGAAGUUUAAUCGACUUACAUUUUGUAUAUAUGAAGUUUAAUUGGUUUAAGUAAACUCUGUUGUAUACAAGUUUAUUUAAAUUGAGGGGAUUGUUAUGCAUAGAGCGAUUACGAAUAUUCUUUCAUGCAAAAUCACAUAAUUUGAAAAAAUUGCUUUUGAUCUGCCUAUUUUGUAUUGAAAGCAGUAUGGACUUGUUUGGCAUAGCUUUGAAAAAGCUUAAAAUUUAUACUUUUUUGUCUCUUCUUCUGCGGUCAAAAUAUUAUGCCAAACGAGCCCCAUAAAUGUUUACUUGUAUAUGUACUUCUCCAUUUGAUUUACACAAUAUGAGAAUAUGGCUUGCAGGCUAAUGACUGUGUUGAUAACUUGGAGGGUGUUUGGCACCUUAACUAAAAAACUGUUUUUUUGUUUUUAAAAGUUAAAAAUUGUUUUUUGAAAACAAGUUGGUUGUGUUUAGCAUUGUUUUCAGAAAACAAUUUUUAAAAACUAAGUUAUAAAUAACAAAAAAUUUUGAGAACAACAAAAAGUUUUCUGUUGUUCUCAAAUUUUUUUUCCUAACUUUCUCAAAUUUUAUUUUUCAUCACUUUUUCUUUCAAAUUAUUUUAUCUCAUUAUAUAUUACAAGCUUUUAAAAUAUUUUUUCUUUGUAAAUAUAUUUGUUAAUUUUUUAUUUAAGAUUUAAAAAAAAUAAAACUAAAAAAAUUGCUUUUAGAAAACAUUAACCAACCACCUUUGAAAACUACAAAAACAGUUUUCUGUUCUCAUUUCUGAAAACAAAUUUUUGAAAACAAAAAACAGAAAACAAUACCAAACACCAAACAGGCCCUUGCUUCUCUGGUCUUUGUAAAUUUGGCUGUCAUUAGUUGAAAAUUUUGUUGCUUUAUCAGUUGACUUCUUGGUGUAUAGUUUGGUUGGAUUCAUUGUACUCUUGUUUUUAGUUAAGUUAUAGAGCACUCAAACCAUAUCAAUGAUGAGCCAUCAUUUUAUUUACAUGUUUUUCGAAGGUGCUCACACCAUAUGAAAUUUCAGGUAUUCUUAUCAUUACUCUAAUAAUAUUGCACGCUUUGGAGGAGAGUCUCAUUCAAUAUAAAAUAAAUCUUGUGUUGUUUGUAGAGUUCUAGAAUUGUAGAGGCUGCAUAUAUGAAGCUUGUUAUUACAGCCUUAUUUUUGAGUCUUUGUUUUGUCAUGCCUUUAUAACUGUUCUAAUUUUAUCUUAUAAUGCCCUUAUUGACAUUUGAUAUUAAUUAAUGUUAAUGAUACCAGCAAUGUUUAAUUAUCGUAAUUACCUUUAAAAUAAUAUGAAAUUUAAAUACUGCAGUGAAUUCAUUAAGUUAAUUUUAAUUUUAUUUGUUCUGUACACUUCAUGUGAACUGAAAUUCUUUCUAAAAGAUCAUAUGAUUGUAUUCUAUGAAGAGUACAUAAAUGUUUCUGUAGCUAUAGUAGUCUAAAUCAUAUAUAUGUAAGAGAAUACUAUUCUAUCAAUUUUGUUAGUAUUACUAAAUUAUCUCUUUAACUUGAAAGGGAUAUUUCUAUACAAAGCUAUAUUGGUGAAAAUCAACAUUUGAAGGCAAUUAAAAGAAGUUACUGAUGGUACUUGAGCUAGAGAACAUCAGCCAAUUCAUCUUCUGAAAUUCAUAAUCAUUUACUGUUGGUGCUUGAGAGCUUCUUAAGAUUUUAAAAUAACCAGUAUUUUAUUUUCAAAAAGAAAAAUAUAUCCAGUAUGUUGUCAUAUUUAUAACUAAGCUAUUGUCAUUCAUUUUUGGGUCUGGAUACAAUUAAUUCAAUUAAUAUUUUUUGUAGAGAAUGUUAAUCAUAACCUUUGUGAUUAGUGAUGCUACAAAUGUACGUGUCUUUCUUCUUUUACCACCUCUAUUAAAUAUGUAUAUAUAUGCCUCAAUGGUUAGCAUAUUUUACAUCUGUACUGAACAUGUUGUAGAAUAAUGGUCUUAGUUUAUGACUAUGCUUAGUUUACCAUUCGAAAAUGGAAAAAGAGAGAAUUUUAAUCUUUUGAGACACAAAAUAUGAUACAAUUUUUUUUCUGUUCUUUUCUAUUCAUCUUAAUUAUCUUUGCCCUGUUCAUUUUUGAAUGACAGUGUUCUUCAAGGUUUCAUCUGUUA